GAUGAACGCUGGCGGCGUGCCUAAUACAUGCAAGUCGAGCGAACGGACGAGAAGCUUGCUUCUCUGAUGUUAGCGGCGGACGGGUGAGUAACACGUGGAUAACCUACCUAUAAGACUGGGAUAACUUCGGGAAACCGGAGCUAAUACCGGAUAAUAUUUUGAACCGCAUGGUUCAAAAGUGAAAGACGGUCUUGCUGUCACUUAUAGAUGGAUCCGCGCUGCAUUAGCUAGUUGGUAAGGUAACGGCUUACCAAGGCAACGAUGCAUAGCCGACCUGAGAGGGUGAUCGGCCACACUGGAACUGAGACACGGUCCAGACUCCUACGGGAGGCAGCAGUAGGGAAUCUUCCGCAAUGGGCGAAAGCCUGACGGAGCAACGCCGCGUGAGUGAUGAAGGUCUUCGGAUCGUAAAACUCUGUUAUUAGGGAAGAACAUAUGUGUAAGUAACUGUGCACAUCUUGACGGUACCUAAUCAGAAAGCCACGGCUAACUACGUGCCAGCAGCCGCGGUAAUACGUAGGCGGCAAGCGUUAUCCGGAAUUAUUGGGCGUAAAGCGCGCGUAGGCGGUUUUUUAAGUCUGAUGUGAAAGCCCACGGCUCAACCGUGGAGGGUCAUUGGAAACUGGAAAACUUGAGUGCAGAAGAGGAAAGUGGAAUUCCAUGUGUAGCGGUGAAAUGCGCAGAGAUAUGGAGGAACACCAGUGGCGAAGGCGACUUUCUGGUCUGUAACUGACGCUGAUGUGCGAAAGCGUGGGGAUCAAACAGGAUUAGAUACCCUGGUAGUCCACGCCGUAAACGAUGAGUGCUAAGUGUUAGGGGGUUUCCGCCCCUUAGUGCUGCAGCUAACGCAUUAAGCACUCCGCCUGGGGAGUACGACCGCAAGGUUGAAACUCAAGGGAAUUGACGGGGACCCGCACAAGCGGUGGAGCAUGUGGUUUAAUUCGAAGCAACGCGAAGAACCUUACCAAAUCUUGACAUCCUUUGACAACUCUAGAGAUAGAGCCUUCCCCUUCGGGGGACAAAGUGACAGGUGGUGCAUGGUUGUCGUCAGCUCGUGUCGUGAGAUGUUGGGUUAAGUCCCGCAACGAGCGCAACCCUUAAGCUUAGUUGCCAUCAUUAAGUUGGGCACUCUAAGUUGACUGCCGGUGACAAACCGGAGGAAGGUGGGGAUGACGUCAAAUCAUCAUGCCCCUUAUGAUUUGGGCUACACACGUGCUACAAUGGACAAUACAAAGGGCAGCGAAACCGCGAGGUCAAGCAAAUCCCAUAAAGUUGUUCUCAGUUCGGAUUGUAGUCUGCAACUCGACUACAUGAAGCUGGAAUCGCUAGUAAUCGUAGAUCAGCAUGCUACGGUGAAUACGUUCCCGGGUCU
rnacentral:rRNA from 1 species